rnacentral:rRNA from 1 species
CAGUCGACGGUAACAGGAAGAAGCUUGCUUCUUUGCUGACGAGUGGCGGACGGGUGAGUAAUGUCUGGGAAACUGCCUGAUGGAGGGGGAUAACUACUGGAAACGGUAGCUAAUACCGCAUAACGUCGCAAGACCAAAGAGGGGGACCUUCGGGCCUCUUGCCAUCGGAUGUGCCCAGAUGGGAUUAGCUUGUUGGUGGGGUAACGGCUCACCAAGGCGACGAUCCCUAGCUGGUCUGAGAGGAUGACCAGCCACACUGGAACUGAGACACGGUCCAGACUCCUACGGGAGGCAGCAGUGGGGAAUAUUGCACAAUGGGCGCAAGCCUGAUGCAGCCAUGCCGCGUGUAUGAAGAAGGCCUUCGGGUUGUAAAGUACUUUCAGCGGGGAGGAAGGGAGUAAAGUUAAUACCUUUGCUCAUUGACGUUACCCGCAGAAGAAGCACCGGCUAACUCCGUGCCAGCAGCCGCGGUAAUACGGAGGGUGCAAGCGUUAAUCGGAAUUACUGGGCGUAAAGCGCACGCAGGCGGUUUGUUAAGUCAGAUGUGAAAUCCCCGGGCUCAACCUGGGAACUGCAUCUGAUACUGGCAAGCUUGAGUCUCGUAGAGGGGGGUAGAAUUCCAGGUGUAGCGGUGAAAUGCGUAGAGAUCUGGAGGAGUACCGGUGGCGAAGGCGGCCCCCUGGACGAAGACUGACGCUC